AGGGAUUUAGCUCAGUGGUUACAGCACCUGCCUCACAAGCACAAGGUCCCAAGUUCAAUUCCCGGUAACCCCC
rfam:Heterocephalus glaber contig24520, whole genome shotgun sequence.